rnacentral:lncRNA from 10 species
AAGGAUCCGCCUCUUUCCUUCUUUCUCAGCCUGGGUUCCACCCCGGGAGGCCCGCUGUAUGAGAUGGAGGGCGGGCUAAAGGCGGGACGAGACUCGAUUGAGCGCAAUUAUGACCAAUCACCUUGCGGAAUAUUCGGCCUAUAGCGAAGGAGGAGCUCAGAACAAAAAGGAGACCCCACCCCCGCCGACGUCCCGUUUGCCACCAUGGGGAUGUACCAAGUGAGACCGAGUAGGGGGAACGAGUGGUGAUUGACGCGCCAGGUUACUGGCCACUGCUCACCUAGGCGCUAGCAAACUUCUGCCAAGAUCGGAACUGAGUACUAAACAGCCUCCACAGUUCUCCCUGGUGCCGUCUCCGGCUUGGCGCCGCAUCCUCCUCUGGGCUCGCGAUGGCCGCGUCCCCUCCCGCUGCGGACGGGUCCUUUGGUACAUGCAGUCCGAGUCACUAUUCCAGGUCCUCAGGAUAUAGCCGUGACCUAAACACAGAAAUCUACCCUGGCGGAGCUGAUCUUCUAGUUGUGGCGGUGAGGAGAUAGACAGUAAAGACUAAAGAAACCAAUAA